GUUUCUCAGGCAGUGGGCAGGACCAUAGAAUUACCAAGAGAUUAUGUCCUUUGUCUUUGGCUACCAGGGCAAAUCGAGAAAGACCAUCAGGCUUAACAACUGCUUGAGGUAUGGAUAUUUGGCAGGAGCCACUCUUUUAGGAGGAGCCACCAACUUGGACCAUGAGUAGGAAGACCAUGCCUGAGGGAAAACAAAGGAGGCUCAUUCCAGGAAGAUUUCAUCAAGCCCACACAAUCGCCAUGGUACUGUGCCACGAAAUUCCAGCCUCCUUCACCUCUCUGAACUCUGGUGUGUGUGUCUUUAAUUCGGUGAGAUCAAUGGGAUCUUCCUGUGUUUGCCCUCCCAUAGAAGGCACCAUGUUUUGUAAUGUGUCUUCAUGAAAAAAGCCGUGAUGAUAUCAGUCUCAGUCUCAGUCUCUGCUUUUUUCCCUUCUGUCUCUCUCUCCUUUUUUUUUUUUUUUUUUUUUUUAGACGGAGUUUCACUCUUGUUGCCCAGGCUGGAGUGCAAUGGUGCGAUCUCGGCUCACCACAAUCUCCGCCUCCUGGGUUCAAGCGAUUCUCAUGCCUCAGCCUUCCAAAUAGCUGGGAUUACAGGAGUGCGCCA
rnacentral:lncRNA from 1 species